GACUCUCGGCAAUGGAUAUCUCGCCUCAAGCAUCGAUGAAGAACGUAGUGAAAUGCGAUACUUGGUGUGAAUUGCAGAACCACGUGAACCAGCAAGUCUUUGAACGCAAGUUGCACCCCAAGCCUUCUGGCCGAGGGCACGUCUGCCUGGGUGUCA
rnacentral:rRNA from 1 species